ensembl:lncRNA
UCCUGCUGUGGUGUCUCUAGGGCCCUACGUGACUAUAGGCCAUGUCCCCUAACCGCUGAAACUAGGACUUAAGUGACUAUAGGCCAUGUCCCCUAACCUUUCAAACUAGGGCCUUAAGUGACUAUAGGCCAUGUAUGUCCCCUAACUGCUCAAACUAGGGCUUUAAGUGUGUGAGCUUUUGCAUUCUGGAUCAGUUGGAGGUUCUACAGGUGUUACAGAGUAGGGUACUACAGUAGAAAAGCAGGCAUGGAUAUAGCCAUGGCAACCAGGCAUGGAUACAGCCAUGGCAACCAGGCAUGUAUACAGCCAUGGCAACCAGGCAUGUAUAGAGCCAUGGCAACCAGGCAUGUAUAGAGCCAUGGCAACCAGGCAUGUAUACAGCCAUGGCAACCAGGCCUGUAUAGAGCCAUGGCAACCAGGCAUGUAUACAGCCAUGUCAACCAGGCAAGUCUCUGUAGUAGAAUAUGAUGAUCUAUAGCAGGGGUGGCUAACCAGUCCAGCUCAAAGAACCACAACAAAACCCAACACCAUUUCGAAGAGCCACACUGUUACCAGACCAUCAAUGGCAUGGAAUAGUUCAACAUAACACAAGGGGCGAAUCUAGGUUCCCACUUUUUGGGGGGUGGCGGGCUAAGCCUCUAGAUAAAACCUAUUAUUUUUCCUGUGACCCAGCAAGACUAGGGGGGUCUGGGGGCAUGCUCCCCCGUAAGACAUUUUUGAAAAUAACCUUUUAAAUAGUGUCCUCUAGUGGGUUUUAGGAAGAGAGAUCAAAUUUAGAUUUAAAAUAUGGCACAACAAUAAACAUAUUGAAGACAUCUGCUGAGAUAGGUGCUAAUUAUACUGUAGCAUGGUAGCGAUUUGCAGCUCGAGUGAAUAGGUUAACGUUGUAGGCUAGAGUUCACUAGCUAGUUAUAGCUGGCAAAGCUACUGAGUAGGGUAGCAUACCCACAGGAUCAAUGAACCGGCAUGAUAAAAGAGAGCCACGACAUCUAUAAUUAACUCGAGAUGAUUUAACCAUUUAGUUUCUUUUACUAUUUUAAACUUCAUGUGCUAUACCUUUAUAUCCGGCAGCUGAUUAUGGCAGCUUUCACCAGCUUG